rnacentral:tRNA from 1 species
GAACGAUUGGCGCAGUGGUAGCGCACCUGAUUCCAGUUUCCAUGACACCAGGAAUUUCCAGGCGGUCAUCCGUUCGAUCCGGAUAUCGUUCA